CUGGAGAUUGCUCCUUUGUGGAGUUCUUGUGGUGAGCCUUGACACUGGCAAGCACCCAUCUUGACUGAAGGCCUCAGAGUUGGUGAUAUAAAUCCUACCUCACAUUGUCAUGCCUUUGAAUGUAAAUCUUGUGGAAAAUCCUUUCAGGAGGCUUCAGAAAAUCUUCCUUCAUUUCCAUUGCAACAUUCCUAGGCAAAAGACUCAUCAAGAGACGUUCCUGGAAUAACAGAACAACUUCUUCCUUCACUUUCAUAUUUCUGAAUUAAAGAAACAAACAACA